rnacentral:tRNA from 1 species
AGCCCUGUAACUCAGUCGGAGAGUGCCUCUCUUACAAAGAGGAAGUCGCAGGUACCCUUCGGGAAGCCGCUCCGCGUCUACAAUCCCUGCUAGGGCUACCA